rnacentral:rRNA from 1 species
AUUGAACGCUGGCGGCAGGCCUAACACAUGCAAGUCGAGCGGAUGAAGGGAGCUUGCUCCUGGAUUCAGCGGCGGACGGGUGAGUAAUGCCUAGGAAUCUGCCUGGUAGUGGGGGAUAACGUCCGGAAACGGGCGCUAAUACCGCAUAAGUCCUGAGGGAGAAAGUGGGGGAUCUUCGGACCUCACGCUAUCAGAUGAGCCUAGGUCGGAUUAGCUAGUUGGUGGGGUAAAGGCCUACCAAGGCGACGAUCCGUAACUGGUCUGAGAGGAUGAUCAGUCACACUGGAACUGAGACACGGUCCAGACUCCUACGGGAGGCAGCAGUGGGGAAUAUUGGGCAAUGGGCGAAAGCCUGAUCCAGCCAUGCCGCGUGUGUGAAGAAGGUCUUCGGAUUGUAAAGCACUUUAAGUUGGGAGGAAGGGCAGUAAGUUAAUACCUUGCUGUUUUGACGUUACCAACAGAAUAAGCACCGGCUAACUUCGUG